rnacentral:rRNA from 1 species
UACGGGGGGGGCAAGCGUUGUUCGGAAUUACUGGGCGUAAAGCGUGCGUAGGUGGUUCGUUAAGUCUGAUGUGAAAGCCCUGGGCUCAACCUGGGAAUGGCAUUGGAAACUGGCGACCUAGAGUGCGGUAGAGGGUAGUGGAAUUCCCGGUGUAGCAGUGAAAUGCGUAGAUAUCGGGAGGAACAUCAGUGGCGAAGGCGGCUACCUGGCCCAAUACUGACACUCAGGUGCGACAGCGUGGGGAGCAAACAGG